rnacentral:rRNA from 1 species
AACGAACGCUGGCGGCAUGCCUAACACAUGCAAGUCGAACGAGACCUUCGGGUCUAGUGGCGCACGGGAGAGUAACGCGUGGGAACCUGCCCUUAGGUUCGGAAUAACUCCCCGAAAGGGGUGCUAAUACCGGUUAAUGUCUUCGGACCAAAGAUUUUUCGCCUUUGGAUGGUCCCGCGUUGGAUUAGCUAGUUGGUAGGGUAAAAGCCUGCCAAGGCGACGAUCCAUAGCUGGUCUGAGAGGAUGAUCAGCCACACUUGGACUGAGACACGACCCAGACUCCUACGGGAGGCAGCAGUUGGGAAUAUUGGUCAAUGGGCGAAAGCCUGAUCCAGCAAUGCCGCGUGAGUGAUGAAGGCCUUAGGGUUGUAAAGCUCUUUUACCCGGGAUGAUAAUGACAGUACCGUGAUAAUAAGCUCCGGCUAACUCCGUG